CCCUUAGUUGUCCGGGGCCGCACGCGCGCUACACUGAAGGAAUCAGCGUGGCUUUCUCCCUGACCCGAAAGGGUUGGGAAACCCGUUGAAUCUCCUUCGUGAUAGGGAUUGGGGCUUGAAAUUGUUCCCCAUGAACGAGGAAUUCCCAGUAAGCGCGAGUCAUAAGCUCGCGUUGAUUACGUCCCUGCCCUUUGUACACACCGCCCGUCGCUACUACCGAUUGAACGGUUUAGUGAGGGCCUCGGAUUGGUCUCGGCCCGCUCUUUACCGGGCGGCGCCGUUGGUCGAGAAGACGCUCGAACUUGAUCGUUUAGAGGAAGUAAAAGUCGUAACA
rnacentral:rRNA from 1 species